AAAAUAUUGAAAUAAUACCAAGAAUUUGUCAAAAAAUAAGCAAAAAGCUUACCUUAAACACCGUUGAUGUCGUUGAAUAAACGUACUCGAUCAAACCGCUCUGAAGCUAAAUCUCACUAGCAAAGACUCUAGUAAACAAUAACACUAAAGAAUACUAGCAAAAGCCGUAGAAGCAAAACACGUUUGAUAACAGCGAGAGCCGAAACCAAAGUGCCAGUUCUCCUCGCUUGCAUUUACAGCAAAACUUCGACGAAGGGUGAGGGACGGGGUCUUUUAGAAAUAGUCAAUUCGUUUUUUUACCUGCGUAUACGCAUUGUCUAUAAAUGGUCAUAAAUUCCUACAAUCCUAAUUGUUAUCAGCGAGUAUUAUAAAACAGCUUUAAUGUAUUAUGACUAAGAUAAAUAAUAGUUUUAAGAUAAGGCAAAAUAAUAGUUGAAUAGUUACAAAAAAAGUUUAUUGUUUUUGUUAUUAGUUCCAAUCCUUCUCAGAAAAAAAUAUGCAGUUUGUCGCAUUUGACUAUGACUACGAUAGGCAAGACAAUAGGUAGAAAGCUAUAAAAAACUUAAUACUAAUUUAUUGUUUAUUGAUUUGUUUCGGUCAUACAAAAAAAAAAAUGUAUAGUUUAUUGUUAAAGGCCUAUUUUAUUUUUCAAGAAAGUCAAGACAGUCACAGUGAGACAUGCAUCACAUUUAUGUUUACUACAACAAUAGUUACUAGAAUCUUACUCGAAAACUUUUGAUCGCUAAGAAAGUCUUUAAGCUUGGGAGCAGUAGUUUUUAAAGUAUCUAAAUAAUGUCAAUAUUAAUACUUUUACAACAAAUAAAGAGUUUUUGGAACUUAGAGCUUUUGAAUAUUAAUAUUCUAAGAUCUUUUAUUGGUGACAUUUUCAUAAAUAUAUUUUCUACUUCUACAAAGAUUCUCUAAUUGGAAAAUUAUACGAAACAUCUUUUGACGAAAAUAUUUAAUAACUGUACGUAACGAGCAAACAUUACCACGUCUACUUACGAAUUCAUCAAUUAUCAUAUUAAAUCAGUAGUAUUUUAUUAAUGUUAAAGCAGACUGAUACUUGCGACGCGUAGAACUGAAACUACAGGCGACCGACACGAUGUAAUAACCGAAAGACGUAGGAAAUAUUGUUCCAGCGCACAGUUGAUUUUAAAACUAAAUAUAAAAGAUACGAUUUAAGAUGAGUUGCUAACUUUGAAUAAAUUAGAAAAAAGAAAUUAUGCGUAUUGCAAGAUAUUUUGUUGGCUUCGAAAAAAAUAAUUUACCUAACAAAUACAGAUUAAAUUUAAAAAAAUCAGUCUUGUUCAUAACUAGAAAUUAUAUUAUAUUUUAUGGUUAAUUCUAUGUAACUAAAUUCGUGCUCAUAAUAUUGAAAAAAAAUA